rnacentral:lncRNA from 11 species
UGCGCCUUCAGGGGGAGUGCGACCCCGUCCAGCACAGGUGGCCACCCAAUACCCCGAUCAGACUUAUGACUGACCUGGAGGACCUCUGUCUUGUCGGAAUUAAGUCUCAGUUUGUUCACCCUCAUCCAGGCCAACACAGCGGCCAGGCACUGAUCCAAUAUCCGAGGGGCUUCCUUGGAGUUCGGUGGAAAGGAGUAGUAGAGUUGAGUGUCAUCUGCGUAGAGAUGGCACCUCACUCCAAAACUCUGGAUGACCUCUCCCAAAGGUUUCAUGUAGAUGUUAAAAAGCAUGGGGGACAGAAUGGAACCUUGCGGGACCCCACAGGUCAAAGGCCAGGGGUCAGAGCAGGUGUCCCCCAGCUUCACCAUCUGGGAACGGCCCUCCAGGAAGGACUGGAGCCACUGCAGAGCGGAACCCCCAAGGCCCAUCCCGGAGAGACGUCCCAGAAGGAGACCAUGGUCGAUGGUCUCGAAAGCCGCUGAGAUGUCCAAGAGAACCAGCAGGGUCACACUCCCCUGUCCAGCUCCCUGCGGAGGUCACCCACCAAGGCGACCAGAGCCGUCUCCAGGCCUGAAGCCAGACUGUGAUUGGAUAAGCGAGUGUUGGAUAAGUGAGACUCUACUGUAUAUGGCAGUCGUUAUAAUGAGGGAAGAGGAAACUGCCAGUCCCGUCAGACCUACACUUCAGGUUCUCAAGCGACACUUUAGGAAGCCGGGAAACCUCGCCGAGCGGAGGCGGAGAGAGGAGGCUGCUUCCCCGACACGACCCGUCCACGCAGAGGCGCCUCCCGCUCCUUGGCCUGGCCCCCUCUUCUCCGCUUCAGCAGCCUGCCUGCCAUGA